rnacentral:rRNA from 1 species
CCUACGGGUGGCAGCAGUCGAGAAUCAUUCACAAUGGGGGAAACCCUGAUGGUGCGACGCCGCGUGGGGGAAUGAAGGUCUUCGGAUUGUAAACCCCUGUCAUGUGGGAGCAAAUUAAAAAGAUAGUACCACAAGAGGAAGAGACGGCUAACUCUGUGCCAGCAGCCGCGGUAAUACAGAGGUCUCAAGCGUUGUUCGGAAUCACUGGGCGUAAAGCGUGCGUAGGCUGUUUCGUAAGUCGUGUGUGAAAGGCCCGGGCCCAACCCGCGGACUGCACAUGAUACUGCGAGGAUAGAGGAAUGGGAGGGGAACCGGAAUUCUCGGUGUAGCAGUGAAAUGCGUAGAUAUCGAGAGGAACACUCGUGGCGAAGGCGGGUUCCUGGACAUUAACUGACGCUGAGGCACGAAGGCCAGGGGAGCGAAAGGGAUUAGAUACCCGUGUAGUC